rnacentral:rRNA from 1 species
UAGCCGCCGCGGUAAAACCAGCACCUCGAGUGGUCAGGAGGUUUAUUGGGCCUAAAGCAUCCGUAGCCGGUUGCAUAAGUUUUCGGUUAAAUCUAUGCGCUUAACGUAUAGGCCGCCGAAAAUACUGUGCAGCUAGGGAGUGGGAGAGGUACACGGUACUCGAUAGGAAGGGGUAAAAUCCUUUGAUCUAUUGAUGACCACCUGUGGCGAAGGCGGUGUACCAGAACACGUUCGACGGUGAGGGAUGAAAGCUGGGGGAGCAAACCGGAUUAGAUACCCGGGAAGUCCCAGCUGUAAACGAUGCAGGCUCGGUGAUGCAUUGGCUUGUGGCCAAUGCAGUGCCGCAGGGAAGCCGUUAAGUCUGCCGCCUGGGAAGUACGUACGCAAGUAUGAAACUUAAAGGAAUUGGCGGGGGAGCACA